UGUAGAGACACUAGAGCGAGAGUGUAGAUGGUUGCGAGAGAACAACUAGCACUGAGCGUGACCAACAUGAAAAGUCACAUGGAUGUCUGCUUACUUGUUAGUGAAUUUUUUGAUGCUGUAGUUGCAUUACUAGUCCUUUGACUUGAGAUGAUACUACUGCUCGUAAUGAGGCUGCUGGAGUUUGAUUGAUACAUCAAUAUGGAUCUCAAAAAUCCCUUAUAGUGGAUGUUGACGGUAGUUAGUCCACUGUUGGAGUGGGGUGUGUAUCAAGAUGGGAUCUAUCGAUCCUAGCAGAAGGGAGUAGUCCUAUAAAAUUUAAGAGAUUGAGUCCUUAAGUCUAUGACCAUAGCAGUAUGAUUGAUGGAAAAGAAUUUUCAUAGAAUCACAUAUAGACUCGAGCUGAUUGAAUCUAUCAUAUAACCGAUGUUAACGUUUGACGAUUCAUCCAUGACCUACCAUC
rnacentral:lncRNA from 1 species